ensembl:misc_RNA
CUCACAACUUUGGCAUCUGAGGUCCUCUGUUUAUCCACAGAAUAGGUACAACACAGUUAGGAGCAAUGCAAAUUGCUCCACAGUACUCUAUCAGCGUGCUUCAACUUUGACUUGGAGGGUAGAGAAAUUAUUUCAGUCUGCAGACACAUUCAAUCUUGGGUCUCU